GGGCCUACGGGAGGCAGCAGUGGGGGAUAUUGCACAAUGGGGGGAACCCUGAUGCAGCGACGCCGCGUGGGUGAAGAAGCGCCUCGGCGCGUAAAACCCUGUCAGCAGGGAAGAAAAUGACGGUACCUGAAGAAGAAGCCCCGGCUAACUACGUGCCAGCAGCCGCGGUAAUACGUAGGGGGCAAGCGUUAUCCGGAUUUACUGGGUGUAAAGGGGGCGCAGACGGCGAUGCAAGCCAGGAGUGAAGGCCCGGGGCCCAACCCCGGGACUGCUCUUGGAACUGCGCGGCUAGAGUGCAGGAGGGG
rnacentral:rRNA from 1 species